CCCCCACCUCGACUCUCCUCCCGCCCACCCAAACGCUGUAGUUACUAAGCAAAAGGAUGAGCUUCUUAACUUUGAUUUCUAAAGACUUUGAGGCUCCGCGUCUGAGGCUUCGUUUUAGGCUGCCGGCUGGCCCGGAGUCAGCACCAGUGACGUACACACCUAAAUCUGGUCCUCCGGCCCUUGGCGACCCGUAGCCUGGCGGCGGCAGCUGUGUAGCUUCCCGCCUCACCCUUGCCCCGCACCCGCCAAAGUCGGUGGGGGGCGGGGGGAGAGUUCACCCUAUGCCCAAAGGCCCCUCCUCUCCUUACAGUUAAUUAAGCUUCAGGAUUCCAGACCCCGAACGCAGGAAGACUCGAACUCUGCCGCUCCAGUGAGGAUUGUUUCAAAUAAAGCUGUCUGAUGUAGAAAGACAUGGUUGCUAGGGAGCCAGAGUCACGAUGGCUGAUGUUACUAGGGAGAAUACAGAGCAGGCAGUGGCUACAGUUGAUUCAGCACUACGUUACCAGAAUAAGUAAAGGUCUAUUUGCCUUGCAUGAUAUUAAAUUAAAUCUGUCUGAGAGAUAAACAACUUAAAUUUUAAUGCUUCACAUUCAAGAGUG